rnacentral:rRNA from 1 species
UACAGAGGGGGCAAGCGUUGCUCGGAAUCACUGGGCGUAAAGGGCGCGUAGGCGGGAUGGCAAGUCGGUCGUGAAAUCCUUCGGCUCAACCGAAGAACGUCGGCCGAUACUGCCGUUCUUGAGGGAUGCAGAGGAGAUUGGAAUUCCCGGUGUAGCGGUGAAAUGUGUAGAGAUCGGGAGGAACACCGGUGACGAAGGCGGGUCUCUGGGCAUCUCCUGACGCUGAGGCGCGAAAGCGUGGGGAGCAAACGGG